rnacentral:rRNA from 1 species
UAGUCCACGCCGUAAACGAUGGAUACUAGGUGUCCGGGAAGUUAACCUCCUGGGUACUACAGCUAACGCGUUAAGUAUCCCGCCUGGGGAGUACGGUCGCAAGGCUAAAACUCAAAGGAAUUGACGGGGGCCCGCACAAGCGGUGGAGUAUGUGGUUUAAUUCGAAGCAACGCGCAGAACCUUACCUACCCUUAACAUUUCACGCUCGCCUCAGAGAUGAGGUUUUCUCUUCGGAGACGUGAGGAUAGGUGCUGCAUGGCUGUCGUCAGCUCGUGUCGUAAGAUGUCUGGUUAAGUCCAAUAACGAGCGCAACCCUUAUCCUUAGUUACCAGCAUUGAGUUGGGGACUCUAGGGAGACUGCCGGUGUUAAACCGGAGGAAGGCGGGGAUGACGUCAAGUCCUCAUGGCCCUUACGGGUAGGGCUACACACAUGCUACAAUGGGUAGUACAAAGGGUUGCCAAGCCGCGAGGUGGAGCCAAUCCCCAAAAACUACUCUCAGUCCGGAUUGGAGUCUGCAACUCGACUCCAUGAAGUCGG